AAUUUGUGUAAAACCUGAUUUAGACGACGCGUUUACAAGCGACAGUUUGUCGCGCCUAAAUGCCAUACACUUCCAAACACUUGUUUCUGCCUUGUUUAAAUGAUGGCAUUUCCCUCUAGCAACAGCCAUGCAUAUAAGCACAACAGAGUCGCGAAGGAUUUGACAAGUUGAAUUUUUACGGCUGCAAAUGCAAGCAAGAAACCAAUCGGCUCUAUGCAGCUGUGUCAUGUGUUAAUUUCUUUGAAAAAUAUGGCGGCUGUUUGGUGUACCGAGUCGACGACUAUACUCCAUGUUAUCGUCGAGAAGAGUAUUCUAGUGACGUGCUCUUUCAUUGCGCAUGAUCACCACCGUUCAAGUCGCUUCCCACAGCAGUUGCGGCAAGCGACGAAUACGCUUGGUGUAAAUAUCUCAACAGCCGACAUCAGCACUCUACGCGCGACAAACUGUCACUUGUAGACGCGUUGUCUAAAUCGGGCUUAAGAUUUAGCGCUGCAAGGUCAAAUCAGUUUUUUUUAUCCAUAUUUUAUUUUAUUUUCUAGAAAUAUGUAAGUGCAC
rnacentral:lncRNA from 1 species